AUUGAACGCUGGCGGCAUGCUUUACACAUGCAAGUCGAACGGCAGCACGGACUUCGGUCUGGUGGCGAGUGGCGAACGGGUGAGUAAUACAUCGGAACGUACCCAGUAAUGGGGGAUAACUAUCCGAAAGGAUAGCUAAUACCGCAUACGCCCUACGGGGGAAAGAGGGGGAUCGCAAGACCUCUUGUUAUUGGAGCGGCCGAUGGCUGAUUAGCUAGUUGGUAGGGUAAAGGCCUACCAAGGCAACGAUCAGUAGCGGGUCUUAGAGGACGAUCCGCCACACUGGAACUGAGACACGGUCCAGACUCCUACGGGAGGCAGCAGUGGGGAAUCUUGGACAAUGGGCGCAAGCCUGAUCCAGCAAUGCCGCGUGCGUGAAGAAGGCCUUCGGGUUGUAAAGCGCUUUUGUCAGGGAGCAAAUCCUUGUGGCUAAUACCCACCGGGGAUGAGAGUACCUGAAGAAUAAGGACCGGCUAACUACGUGCCAGCCGCCGCCGUAACAC
rnacentral:rRNA from 1 species